AAAUUCUGUGAACUGCACCUCUGCAAGCUGAUGUGCGGCGUGUUGACUAAUGACAUCCGAAACCCGAAUGCGACCCUGAAGGAUGUGGAGAAGGCUGCGAUGACCUGGUUCCGUCAUGCUGCUGAGCGGCUGGCCGCGCAACAAAAAUAGUUUUUUUUUUUCAACUAAUAAGAUAAUCCUGAAGGUCAGUUAUUGUUGCAAAUUCUCUGCAUUGCGUGUAUUAAAAUUUGUGUUGCUUUUUUUUCAC